rnacentral:lncRNA from 1 species
AAGAUUUUCCAUCCGAGGUACAAGAAAGUGGAAGGUUUUAGUGGAAUAAUCAGCGAUUUCAGGACAUUUGUCCUUAACCUUUAAUGGUUGUGUUUCAACCAAGACAUGGACGAAGAUGAACGACAGAGGAAACUAGAAGCUGGAAGAGCAAAGAAAUCCACCAACAUGCAGCCCAGUCAGUUGCUUGCUAGCUUCCGACAGAAAAGGGCGAAAGGGGACGGUCAAGUCGCGCAGAAAAAGACGCAGAAGAGGAAGGGCCCGUCUCCAACGCAGAAUGACGGCCCAGCGCAAGGUCGCCCCCUAGGGAUGGACCUCCAGACAGACAGCAACGCCACACAGCAGG